CCUGGCGGCCGUAGCGCGGUGGUCCCACCUGACCCCAUGCCGAACUCAGAAGUGAAACGCCGUAGCGCCGAUGGUAGUGUGGGGUCUCCCCAUGCGAGAGUAGGGAACUGCUAGGC
rnacentral:rRNA from 13 species